rnacentral:rRNA from 1 species
CAGUCGCCACGGUAAUACGUAGGUGGCAAGCGUUGUCCGGAAUUAUUGGGCGUAAAGGGCUCGCAGGCGGUUUCUUAAGUCUGAUGUGAAAGCCCCCGGCUCAACCGGGGAGGGUCAUUGGAAACUGGGAAACUUGAGUGCAGAAGAGGAGAGUGGAAUUCCACGUGUAGUGGUGAAAUGCGUAGAGAUGUGGAGGAACACCAGUGGCGAAGGCGACUCUCUGGUCUGUAACUGACGCUGAGGAGCGAAAGCGUGGGGAGCGAACAGGAUUAGAGACCCGUGUAGUCCCUGUCUCUUAUAC